rnacentral:rRNA from 1 species
UUAUUACGUCCCUGCCCUUUGUACACACCGCCCGUCGCUGCCCGGGACUGAGCCAUUUCGAGAAAUUUGGGGACCGUUGAUUUAAUUUUUCUAAAUUACUUUGAUGGAAACCAAUUUAAUCGCAGUGGCUUGAACCGGGCAAAAGUCGUAACAAGGUAGCUGUAGGUGAACCUGCUGCUGGAUCAUUA